rnacentral:tRNA from 1 species
GGAGAGAUGCCCGAGAGGCCGAAGGGGCACGCCUGGAAAGCGUGUGUGCAAUCAAAUGCACCGAGGGUUCGAAUCCCUCUCUCUCCGCCA